rnacentral:rRNA from 1 species
AUGCACGCUGGCGGCGUGCCUAAUCCAUGCAAGUCGAGCGAACGGACGAGAAGCUUGCUUCUCUGAUGUUAUCGGCGGACGGGUGAGUAACACGUGGAUAACCUACCUAUAAGACUGGGAUAACUUCGGGAAACCGGAGCUAAUACCGGAUAAUAUUUUGAACCGCAUGGUUCAAAAGUGAAAGACGGUCUUGCUGUCACUUAUAGAUGGAUCCGCGCUGCAUUAGCUAGUUGGUAAGGUAACGGCUUACCAAGGCAACGAUGCAUAGCCGACCUGAGAGGGUGAUCGGCCACACUGGAACUGAGACACGGUCCAGACUCCUACGGGAGGCAGCAGUAGGGAAUCUUCCGCAAUGGGCGAAAGCCUGACGGAGCAACGCCGCGUGAGUGAUGAAGGUCUUCGGAUCGUAAAACUCUGUUAUUAGGGAAGAACAUAUGUGUAAGUAACUGUGCACAUCUUGACGGUACCUAAUCAGAAAGCCACGGCUAACUACGUG